UGGUCAUACCCUUCAUUAUGACGUGAGCGCUCUGUGCCUUGGGAUUCCAGCUGAAGACCAGCAUGCCCGCAAGAAGUCUAACCCUCUCCUGGUCUUUCUAAGAAAGGCAUCUUGAAUGAAGGCCAGAAAUUAGCAACAAAAUUGCAGAAGGGAGUGAUAUGCAGGAAGACCUGAAAGGGAGAAGUUUGCAAACGAGGAACUGGCACUGUUGAUCUAGCACCGUCCAUGGGCUACACCUCCGAGCAUGGCUGACGUGGCUACCGAAGUGAGCAGAAGGGGCAUCCAUGGAUGGUUCAGCUGACUCAGCAGAGCCUGGAGGACACAACCCUGCAGAUUUUUGUCCUUGCUUUGCUCAAAUUCCAUAUGCAUUAAGCAACCUUCUGAUUCAAUGUAGUUUCA
rnacentral:lncRNA from 10 species